rnacentral:rRNA from 1 species
UACCAGCACCCCGAGUUGUCGGGACGAUUAUUGGGCCUAAAGCAUCCGUAGCCUGUUCUGCAAGUCCUCCGUUAAAUCCACCUGCUCAACGGAUGGGCUGCGGAGGAUACCGCAGAGCUAGGAGGCGGGGAGAGGCAAAACGGUACUCAGUGGGUAGGGGGUAAAAAUCCAUUAUCUACUGAAAGACCACCCAGUGGGCGAAAGGGCGGUUUUUGCCCAGAAACG